rnacentral:lncRNA from 1 species
GCAAUUAAUGGGUUUGGGGUCAUUCUAUGGGGCUCUAUGGGGCAAUUAAUGGGGUUGGGGUCAUUCUAUGGGGCUCUAUGGUGACCCGGAAGUCUUUAUUUGGGGGGUCCCAGGGUACAACUUCCUGUUCCGGUUUGCACCGUGCGCUGAUUGGUCGGCAGAACUGGUCGCUGCUUUUGAUUGGCUGAAGAACGGAAGUGGUUAUAAGCACGGGAGCUCGGCAGGAAGAGGCGGGGCUAAAACAGGAAGUUGACGCUGUGACGUCAUCAAGAGGCGACCAUGGCUUUAUGAGGCCUAGUUAGGCCUCAGAGUCUCUUUUUGGGGUGAAAAAGGAAGAUUUUGGGGCAUAAUAAUGGCCUUUUUUAAUGUUUUGCUCUGUAUUUGGUGGGGGGAAGUCACUUUUUGGGGUGAAAAAGACGAUUUUUGGGGCAUAAAAUCGUCGGUUUUUGGUUUUUUUGGUUGGAAGGAAAACAAAGAUGGCGGCCUCGGCAGGAAGAGGCGGGGCUAAAACAGGAAGUCCCAGCUAUGACGUCAUCAAGAGGCGACAACGCGGCCUAGUUAGGCCUCAAGAGGCCUAGUUAGGCCUAAAAGUCUCUUUUUGAGGUGAAAAAGAAGGUUUUUGGGGCAUAAAAAUUGGGUUUUUGGGGUUUUUUCAGUAUUUGGUGGGGGGAAGUCGCUUUUGGGGGUGAAAAAGUUGUUUAUUUGGGCAUAAUAAUGGCAUUUUUUGGGGUUUUGUCAGUAUUUGUUGGGGGGACAAGAUGGCGGCCUCAGCAGGAAGAGGCGGGGCUAAAACAGGAAGUCACAGCUAUGACGUCAUCAAGAGGCGACAACGCGGCCUAGUUAGGCCUCAAGAAGCCUAGGUAGGCCUCAAAGUCACUUUUUGGGGUGAAAAAUGAGGUUUUUGGGGCAUAAAAAUGGGUUUUUUUGGGUUUUUUUCAGUAUUUGGUGGGUGGAAAUAGGUCCCGGCCUGUCCGUAGGAUCUGUUCCUCCAGUCUCCGGUGGCGUUGCAUGUCCCAAAGGACUUUGUCCAAACGGGCCUCGCGGCGACGACGGGCGGCGCUGCCUGAAAAUGGGGCGAAAAAGGGGAAAAUUGGGUAAAAUUGGGGAGAUAUGGGGGCUAUGGGGUUAUAUGGGGGAAUAUGGGGGAUAUGGGGGGGUAUGGGGAGCUAUGGGGUGGUUAUGGGUCGCUAUGGGUCCCUAUGGGACGCUAUGGGGUCACUAUGGGGUGGUUAUGGGGUGGUUAUGGGGCACUAUGGGGUGUCUAUGGGGUGGUUAUGGGGUGGUUAUGGGGCGCUAUGGGGCUCUAUGGGUCUCUAUGGGGCUAUAUGGGUGGUUAUGGGGUGGUUAUGGGGUGGCUAUGGGGCCGCUGUGGGUGUCUAUGGGUCGCUAUGAGGUGCUAUGGGGGCACUAUGGGGUGUCUAUGGGGUGGUUAUGGGGUGGUUAUGGGUCACUAUGGGGCACUAUGGGGUGGUUAUGGGGCAGUAUGGUGUGGUUAUGGGGCACUAUGGGGUGUCUAUGGGGUGGUUAUGGGUCACUAUGGGGCACUAUGGGGUGGUUAUGGGGCAGUAUGGUGUGGUUAUGGGGCGCUAUGGGGUCGCUAUGGGGCCGCUAUGGGUGUCUAUGGGUCACUAUGGGGUGUCUAUAGGGUGUCUAUAGGGUCUCUAUGGGUCGCUAUGGGGUGCUAUGGGUCUCUAUGGGGUGGGUAUGGGGUACUAUGUGGUGUCUAUGGGUCGCUAUGGGGUGGUUAUGGGUCGCCAUGGGGUGUCUAUGGGCCACUAUGGGGUCUUCUGAUGGGCGCUAAUGGGGUGGUUAUGGGCGCUCUAUGGGGUGGUUUUAUGGGGUGGUUAUAGGGUAAUAUGGGCACCUAUGGGACUGGUGUAUGGGGCUAUGGGUGUGGUUAUGGGGCGCUUAUGGGUCGCUAGUGGGGCGCCGAUGGGGUGCUACUUGGGCGGU